rnacentral:rRNA from 1 species
UACGUGGGCAGCGAGCGUUGUUCGGAGUUACUGGGCGUAAAGCGUGCGUAGGCGGUGUCUUAAGUUUGUUGUGAAAUCUCCCGGCUUAACCGGGAGGGUGCGGCGAAUACUGAGAUGCUGGAGUGCGGGAGAGGUAAGCGGAAUUCCUGGUGUAGCGGUGAAAUGCGUAGAUAUCAGGAGGAACACCUGCGGUGUAGACGGCUUACUGGACCGUAACUGACGCUGAGGCACGAAAGCGUGGGUAGCAAACAGG